rnacentral:rRNA from 1 species
UACGGAGGGUGCAAGCGUUAUCCGGAUUUACUGGGUUUAAAGGGUGCGUAGGUGGGUAGGUAAGUCAGUGGUGAAAUCUCCGGGCUUAACCCGGAAACUGCCAUUGAUACUAUUUAUCUUGAAUACUUUGGAGGUAAGCGGAAUAUGUCAUGUAGCGGUGAAAUGCUUAGAUAUGACAUAGAACACCAAUUGCGAAGGCAGCUCGCUACACGAAUAUUGACUCUGAGGCACGAAAGCGUGGGGAGCAAACAGG